rnacentral:rRNA from 1 species
GAUGAACGCUGGCGGCGUGCUUAACACAUGCAAGUCGAACGAAGCACUUUAUUUGAUUUCCUUCGGGACUGAUUAUUUUGUGACUGAGUGGCGGACGGGUGAGUAACGCGUGGGUAACCUGCCUUUUACAGGGGGAUAACAGUUGGAAACGGCUGCUAAUACCGCAUAAGCGCACGGCAUCGCAUGAUGCAGUGUGAAAAACUCCGGUGGUAUAAGAUGGACCCGCGUUGGAUUAGCUAGUUGGUGAGGUAACGGCCCACCAAGGCGACGAUCCAUAGCCGACCUGAGAGGGUGACCGGCCACAUUGGGACUGAGACACGGCCCAAACUCCUACGGGAGGCAGCAGUGGGGAAUAUUGCACAAUGGGCGAAAGCCUGAUGCAGCGACGCCGCGUGAGCGAAGAAGUAUUUCGGUAUGUAAAGCUCUAUCAGCAGGGAAGAUAAUGACGGUACCUGACUAAGAAGCACCGGCUAAAUACGG